GACGAACGCUGGCGGCGUGCCUAAUACAUGCAAGUUGAGCGAUGAAGAUUGGUGCUUGCACCAAUUUGAAGAGCAGCGAACGGGUGAGUAACGCGUGGGGAAUCUGCCUUUGAGCGGGGGACAACAUUUGGAAACGAAUGCUAAUACCGCAUAACAACUUUAAACAUAAGUUUUAAGUUUGAAAGAUGCAAUUGCAUCACUCAAAGAUGAUCCCGCGUUGUAUUAGCUAGUUGGUGAGGUAAAGGCUCACCAAGGCGAUGAUACGUAGCCGACCUGAGAGGGUGAUCGGCCACAUUGGGACUGAGACACGGCCCAAACUCCUACGGGAGGCAGCAGUAGGGAAUCUUCGGCAAUGGACGAAAGUCUGACCGAGCAACGCCGCGUGAGUGAAGAAGGUUUUCGGAUCGUAAAACUCUGUUGGUAGAGAAGAACGUUGGUGAGAGUGGAAAGCUCAUCAAGUGACGGUAACUACCCAGAAAGGGACGGCUAACUACGUG
rnacentral:rRNA from 1 species